rnacentral:lncRNA from 1 species
UAAUAUCCAACCUGGACCAUCAGAGUGGUGCUGCAGUUGAAAGAAACGUUGGUUUAACGGCUCAAGUUGGGAUUUCUAGGGGAAAAGCAAGAGUCAAUGCGGCAAGAUGUGACCUGCACAGGGCAGGACAGGGAGUUGGGCUCCCUCAACCACACGACUCGGGUGAAAAGAAGACAGGGACGGACAAGAAAAGUAGUCUUUUAUUUCAAUGAAUAUUUCUUGGCAUUAGGCAGAUAUUAAAUAACACUGGAAUGCACGAGACUAUUGAACGUAUCGACAGCGAGGGGAGAGGCGCAGCGAGGUGGAGGACAGCGGUGCGACUCACGUCACCUCAGGUCACUCGAAGCCACUGGACGCAGCGACCACCAGAACGUAGGACUCCACUGAGAGAUACAACAUGAGGGUUUGCUCCUUUCGGGUCUCCCGUUAAUACAGAAACGCCGGGACGAUCGACAGUCAAAAUGAACAAAUAUUUGCAUUCGGGAAUUAAACAGAGUGAAAUACCCACAAACUGCUACUCAUGCAUUUCUUCUGGAACAGCAAUUUGCUAAUGCAUAAAUACCACAGAAAGAAAACAAUCAUCUCCAAGAUUGGAAUAAAUCACGGACAACUAGAAGAAACAAAGCUGGAGUCUAUUUUAUGCCUUAAAUAGAUGACCUAAAU